rnacentral:rRNA from 1 species
GAUUAGGCAUGCAAGUCGAACGAGGGAGUACUCCGAAAGGGGUACAAAUCGAGUGGCGUAAGGGUGAGUAAUGCAUUGAUAACCUACCUUUGAGAUGGGGAUAACAACGUCCCAAGCAAUUGGGGCUACCGAAAGGUUGUAAUACUCAAUAAAACUGUUGGUGCCUUGGUAUUGACAGUCAAAAANGUGGAAUCUUGAGAUUUCAUUUCUCAGAGAGGGGUCAAUGUCCUAUCGCUAGUUGGCAGGGUAAUGGCCUACCAAGGCGAAGACGGGUAGCCGGCCUGAGAGGGUGGUCGGCCACACUGGGACUGAGACACUGCCCAGACUCCUACGGGAGGCUGCAGUCGAGAAUCUUUCGCAAUGCCCGAAAGGGUGACGAAGCGACGCCGCGUGUGGGAAGAAGGCCUUCGGGUUGUAAACCACUGUCGGGAGUUAAGAACUGUAAGGAUGCUAAUAGUAUUCUUACUUGACUAAGGCUCCGGAGGAAGCCACGGCUAACUUUGUGCCAGCAGCCGCGGUAAUACAGAGGCGGCAAGCGUUGUUCGGAAUUAUUGGGCGUAAAGAGCAUGUAGGCGGCUAUGUAAGUCGGUUGUGAAAGCCUUCCGCUUAACGGAAGAAUGGCGGCCGAAACUGCAUGGCUUGAGUGCCGUAGGGGAGACUGGAACUUCUGGUGGA